rnacentral:rRNA from 1 species
GUCUUUUUGAGUUAUUUUAAAAGUCUGACCUGCCCACUGAAUAUUUUUAAAUGGCCGCAGUAUUCUAACUGUGCAAAGGUAGCAUAAUCAUUAGUCUUUUAAUUGAAGGCUGGUAUGAACGGUUGGACGAAGUAUAAGCUGUUUCAUAUAAAAUUGUAUUAGAAUUUUAUUUUUUAGUUAAAAAGCUAAAAUUUUAUUAAAAGACGAGAAGACCCUAUAAAUCUUUAUAUUUAAUAUUAAUUGAAUUUUUUUGAUUUNUUUUAUUUUUUUAAUUUUAAAUAUUUUGUUGGGGUGAUAUUAAAAUUUAAUAAACUUUUAAUUAUUUAUUAAAUCAUUAAUUUAUGAAUAAUUGAUCCAUUAAUAAUGAUUAUAAGAUUAAGUUACUUUAGGGAUAACAGCGUAAUUUUUUUAGAGAGUUCAUAUCGAUAAAAAAGUUUGCGACCUCGAUGUUGGAUUAAGAUAUAUUUUUAGGUGCAGCCGCUUAAAUAAUGAGUCUGUUCGACUUUUAAUUUCUUACAU